UAUGGAAUAAUCCAAAAAAUAUGUUUUAUUAUAUAUAUAUAUUUUUUUUUAACUAAAGAGCGUUUUUUUUUGUCACACUUAGCCCGGUGCGACAGUGCGUGUCAUAGCUGUAAGUCGAUGAGAAAACUGAAUUUAUAUUUUAAACAAUUGUAUAUCCUUUCUCCAUUGCCUUAAUUCAAAGAACGCCUUAAUUCAAUGAUCGCCUUUUACGAUAUAUUAGUGUUGUGUUGCUCAUGAACAAAAUGGAGUUGUUCACUUAAGUGAGCAACUGAACAUGUUCCUUCCAAGCUGUUCUUUUUGUUCACUUGUUCUUUGUUGUUCACUUGUUCUCUACUCACUUUUUGCGCAAUUUUGCUCCUCAAAGGGCAUAUUGCGAUCUGAAUAGUGAACAACUGAGUGAGCAAGUGAGUAACUGAGCAAUCUAAGAGAGCAAGUGAGCAAUAUGAGUGAACUUACUUAAAAAAAGAAACAAGGAAACAACUUACUAAAAAAGAACAAGUGAACAUGUUCACCAAAAUGAAAAUGAAACCAACACUACGAUAUAUCUAUUUUUCUGAAACAAUUGCUAGCGACGUGUGGUUGUGAAACGCACUGUACACUUUUUAAUAAUUUUUCCCCAUUUCUCGUGUUUUCUUUGCUAAUUUGUUUGUGCACGAUUUGGCAUUGUGUUUGUCCCCAUGAUUUCAUGUACGACUUAGUCCUUAAGUAGUUUCUAAGGCUGUGUAACUAAAAACUAAAAACAAGAACAUGUACUAACAAAAAAACAAAAAAGAAAACAAAAAACAAAAACCUAUGGCUUACGGACAUACCCCUUUGAUUGGUUGUUGUAUUUGAGUUUAGCGCCGUACAAUUUUUGUUUAUUUUGAAUAUGAUUUCGAGGCGAGGCGGGAUAAACAGAAAUUGGCAAGUGCACUUACUAAACGUAUAAUGAAAUAUAAAUGAAGUACAUAUAUAAUGAAUCGAUUAUAAAAGCCUAAGCUCUAAGUACGAUACAAACUAAUAUUACAAUUAACAAUUUUUUGUAAACCAUUUUGUAAGGCUUGAGCCUUUUGAUUUGAGCCGCAGGGUCAGAAUGGUCCCCCGAAGCGAAAGGUCAGAAGGGGCCCAAAGCAAAGGGCUAUAAAAGGCUCAACACCAAUGGCCAGAAAAGCAAAACAAAAGUGUUAAAGAAACACACAAAAUCAAAGUGAAGCAAAGCUAAGAAAAAUGAAAGCAAAAGCUGAAAUAAUUAGUCCACAUUUUAGUCUAAACAAAAACGAAACAUACCAAGAAGGGUUAAAGCUAAAGUAAAUCUACAAACUAAAAUCAAGAAAAGCUAAAAAUGAUACACGGAAACACAAAUUGUAACAUGGAUUUGCUAUAUAACAAAACUUAAACUAAACAAACGAAUGAGAAUGAGAAUGAAAUGAUUAUCUAGCAAUAAAAAUAAACAGAAUGAUUUCAUUUAUACAGAUCGCAAGCGAUCUAUCGAUUUGGUGGAGAGAAGAGGAAUGGCGGGAGAGAGCUGUUUGCUAAUUUAUGCCAAAAAUAGGUCAACACCUGAAUAUGCUACUCGGAAAACCAGUUUGGCAGAUGGGCUGGCCGAUCAUCGCGGGCGUUCCCGAAAGUGAGAGGAAAACAUAAUCUGUGAUUUGUAUGCGAGUUUUGGGUGAUUUCUUUUCUGACGACAUCUUUUGACUGGGACUUGUGACUCAUUAUGAAUGCCAAACACAAUCCCCGCGACUAUGUGUAAACCCGUUUUGAGCGAGAGAAAAGAAGAGUGGGAGCCUCUUCAAUCAGCUGGCAACGAAAUGCAUUCGUUGCGCUGUUCAAAACAUACACGAUCACUCUCCCUGCCAGUGAUUGCCUGAAAUCCAACACGGAAUGUAUCGCAAUGUGCUCUGCCUGGUGCUGGGCCUGGUCAUUGGCAUACGACUGACGGAUCUCUUCGAUUACCUGCGACUCACUGAUAGCCGCGACUAUGCCCUCACCCAGGCCCCCGCUGCCACGCCCCAGGUCCACACUGAAACAAAAACUGAGACGGAGGCGGACAUUGCCGCGUGGCUGUUUAAUGAAACGCGAGUGCUGUGCCUCGUGCUGACAAUACCCCAGUGGCACCACAGUAAGGCCGCAAAGGUGAAGAACACAUGGGGUUCGCGCUGCAAUAAGUUGAUAUUCCUGAGCAGCGAAGAGGACAAAGAACUGGGGGCCAUCGAUGUGGGUGUGCCUGAAGAUCGUAAAAAUCUAUAUGCCAAAGUUCGCGCCGGCUUUGCGUACGCGUACAAGCAUCAUGGAGAGGAUUACGAUUGGUUUCUCAAGGCAGAUGAUGAUACCUUUAUAAUAAUGGAGAAUCUGAGGUACUUUCUCUACCCCUACGAUCCAGAGGCUGCUCUUUAUUUUGGUCACAAAUUCCACACCGAUUUCCCGCAGGGCUACAUGUCUGGUGGAGCAGGCUACGUGUUGAGUCGUGAUGCCCUGCGGCGACUGAAUCUCUUUGCGCUGAAUAACACCCGUUUCUGUCCAGUGAAUACGCUGUCAGAGGAUCGGCAGAUAGGCAAGUGCCUGAGGAAUGUGGGUGUUGUGGCAGGAGACUCUCGGGAUGAGGAGGGACAGGAACGCUUUUUGCCGCUGUCCCCCAAGCAUUUGGUGCCCCAUUUUCCCACCACUGGAUGGCUGAGUGGCUUGGUGUUCUAUAAGCCGACGGAGACCUGCUGUUCGACCACUGCCAUCAGCUACCACUACGUCAAGGACUUUGAGUUCGAGAUCUACGAGUACUUGUUGUAUCGCCUGCGCGUCUUUGGCAUACCCGUGCCCCAGCGAACACUACCCAUGCGUCUGCCACAGCAACAACUGCAAAGACAGCUGGAGAUCUGGUCCAAAGAAAAAACUACAAAUCAUAAAAAGGGAUAAUCGAAGGUUAUGUUUAUGUAGAUCACAUUGCUGUAAGAUGUGGAUGAAACGGAAGAACAAGGACUCAAAACUAGACCUAAAUCAUGUUAGAAUUUGUUUAAAUUAUAUGCGCAAGUGCUGCGAGCAGGAGGAGAAAACAAAACUGUGAUUCGAAUUGACUUUGCCCCGCUUCUUAAGCCUCAAAACAACGUCUGGGAUCUCCUCUACAGGUGGGGAUUGAUGGAAUGACCAGAGCUCGUUGCAUUACUAUGGAGCACCGUUCUCUAAGGUUUGAACCAAUUUUCGGCAUGCGACAGUCUUCUGGAAGCUUUUGAGAGUAAAUAGCAAGGAAAUUGGUCUCCAGAGAGGAGAAUUCGGCAGACUGAAUGCCAUCUGAAUGACGAGGAACAAGCGUAAGGAUGUGCCAAAUAUAAGAAGCGGCAAUCGGAUUUUUCCACAGGACCAAUAGGACCGAUUGCUGCUCAAGCUCUCUAUUGCUCUGCCACCGCUCCAGAGGGGACUUCCUGCACGUCUGUUCUUUGGGUAUACGCUGGAUUUUAAAGGGUUAAGCGAUGUUGAAGGAGUAUAGCAGCAGGGAAACAUACUGUAUCUACUAAAGCCAUUCUCUCGCCUCUCCAUUCCAUACCUUAUGUUAGUCCCCUAUAUUCCUAUAAUUACUACAUCCAUUAAACUGUACAAUAAAUGUAUUAUAACUUAA